CCUACGGGGGGCAGCAGUGGGGAAUAUUGCACAAUGGGGGGAACCCUGAUGCAGCGACGCCGCGUGCGGGAUGACGGCCUUCGGGUUGUAAACCGCUUUUAUUGGGGAGCAAGCGUGAGUGAGUGUACCUUUUGAAUAAGCACCGGCUAACUACGUGCCAGCAGCCGCGGUAAUACGUAGGGUGCAAGCGUUGUCCGGAAUUAUUGGGCGUAAAGAGCUCGUAGGCGGUUUGUCGCGUCUGGUGUGAAAGUCCAUCGCUUAACGGUGGAUUGGCGCUGGGUACGGGCAGGCUAGAGUGUAGUAGGGGAGACUGGAAUUCUCGGUGUAACGGUGGAAUGUGUAGAUAUCGGGAAGAACACCAAUGGCGAAGGCAGGUCUCUGGGCUAUUACUGACGCUGAGGAGCGAAAGCG
rnacentral:rRNA from 1 species